rnacentral:rRNA from 1 species
GACGAACGCUGGCGGCGUGCUUAACACAUGCAAGUCGAACGGAAAGGCCUCUUUCGGGGGGUACUCGAGUGGCGAACGGGUGAGUAACACGUGAGUAACCUGCCCUUGACUUUGGGAUAACUUCAGGAAACUGGGGCUAAUACCGGAUAGGAGCUCCUGCUGCAUGGUGGGGGUUGGAAAGUUUCGGCGGUUGGGGAUGGACUCGCGGCUUAUCAGCUUGUUGGUGGGGUAGUGGCUUACCAAGGCUUUGACGGGUAGCCGGCCUGAGAGGGUGACCGGCCACAUUGGGACUGAGAUACGGCCCAGACUCCUACAGGAGGCAGCAGUGGGGAAUAUUGCACAAUGGGUGGAAGCCUGAUGCAGCAACGCCGUGUGCGGGAUGACGGCCUUCGGGUUGUAAACCGCUUUCGCUCAUGACGAAGCUUUGUGUGACGGUAGUGGGUAAAGAAGCACCGGCUAACUACGU